UAACUCAGUUGAUAGAGUGCUUGCCUCGCAUGCAUAAGGCCCUGGGUUCAAUCCCCAG
rnacentral:tRNA from 1 species